rnacentral:lncRNA from 1 species
UUCACCGUGUUAGCCAGGAUGGUCUCAAUCUCCUGACCUCGUGAUCCACCCGCCUUGGCCUCCCAAAGUGCUGGGAUUACAGGCGUGAGCCACUGUGCUCGGCCAGCAUCUGGUAUUUUUUAUUUUUUAUUUAUUUAUGUUUUUGAGAUAGAGUCUUGCUGUGUCACCCAGGCUGGAGUACAAUGGUGUGAUCGUGGCUCACUGCAAGCUCCGCCUCCCAGGUUCAUGCCAUUCUGCCUCAGCCUCCUGAGUAGCUGGGACUACAGGCGCGUGCCACCACACCUGGCCAAUUUUUUGUAUUUUAAGUAGAGAUGGGGUUUCACUGUGUUAGUUAGGGUGGUCUCGAUCUCCUGACCUCGUAAUCCGUCCCCCUCGGCCUCCCAAAGUGCUGGGAUUACAGGUGUGAGCCACUGUGCCCGGCCUGCAUCUGCUACUUUUUAAUGUG